rnacentral:ncRNA from 1 species
GGCAUAUCAAGUCAGACACGACCUGUUAAGACACGGACAACAAACAGGUACACACGAUCACAACACAAAAUCUCGGUGGAGCGUGAAAUGCGCAGAGAUCGGAAAGAACACCAACGGCGAAAGCACUCUGCUGGGCCGACACUGACACUGAGAGACGAAAGCUAGGGGAGCGAAUGGGAUUAGAUACCCCAGUAGUCCUAGCCGUAAACGAUGGAUACUAGGCGUUGUGCGUAUCGACCCGUGCAAUGCUGUAGCUAACGCGUUAAGUAUCCCGCC